rnacentral:rRNA from 1 species
UACCAGCGCCCCGAGUGGUCGGGACGAUUAUUGGGCCUAAAGCAUCCGUAGCCGGUUCUACAAGUCUUCCGUUAAAUCCACCUGCUUAACAGAUGGGCUGCGGAGGAUACUAUAGAGCUAGGAGGCGGGAGAGGCAAGCGGUACUUAGUGGGUAGGGGUAAAAUCCGUUGAUCCAUUGAAGACCACCAGUGGCGAAGGCGGCUUGCCAGAACGCACUCGACGGUGAGGGAUGAAAGCUGGGGGAGCAAACAGG